GUGCUCACUUCAGCAGCACAUAUACUAAAAUUGGAACGAUACAGAGAAGAGUAGCAUGGCCCCUGCACAAGGAUGACACGCAAAUUCAUGAAGCGUUCCAUAUUUAA
ensembl:snRNA U6 U6 spliceosomal RNA